rnacentral:piRNA from 1 species
UGCUUAAACAUGUUAUUGUCUUUGUGUCU